CAAACGACCCCUUAGUGUGAUCUUUUCGUUUUUUAUACUUUGCAGUCUUUAUUUGUCCUACUUGAAAGCAUAUGAAAUUGUGGAUUUUAUUUAAUUGGUGGAGUGUUAUUAAGCGAAGUAUGCAUAAUGCACAUGAGAUGUUUGAGAAAAUUACUUCAAACAAGUUCAGUAGUUGAGUUAAUGAAGAUAAAGUAACAAUUGAAUAGAAGUUUUUUGAAAAGUGUUACCACCCGUUGUUAAACUCUGGCUUUCUUUUAAUUUUGUGAAUCUCGAAAAACCAUAACUAAUUGUAUUUGUUCAUUAAUUUGACGGUUAUUUCUUAUUAGCUUGAGAUUGUUGUCUUAAAUUCAGAAACCCUAAGCCUCAAAUCCUGGCUCGUCUUUGGAGAGAUGAGUGGGACUUCAGGUCUCUUUCAGCUAUGGCAAGUUCCUUCCUCAUCACUGUUUUCCGGAUGUUCCAAGCUUUCUAAAGAUCUGUACUUGGUUCCUGCGCGUGUUAUGUAUCCAAUGUCAUGCUUCCGUAAGCAAAUGCAGACUACUUAUGAAAUUGUUAAAGGAAGCUAUGUAUCAAACCCACAGGACAGACAAGAAAACAAAGAAAAAUUGACACCUAAGGUAGAAAAUGUAGGUGCAUUUCAAAAAUUACCCAUGGUAAUGCCAUCUGUAGAUAUUCUACAUUCAGCACUGAGGAAAGCAAAGAGGGUCUCGCCUACAAAGGGCAUUGCUAAUGCUGCAAAGCGCGAGAGAAAUAAAGGCGCAAAACAACUUGACUCAUUAAUGAAGGAGUUGGCUGUGCCCUUGAGAACAUACAAGGAGAACUUCCCAAACAAAAAAUAUUUGCACCCUUAUGAACGAUCUUUGAUUGAGUUAACUCUUGGAGAUGGAAACUAUGAAGAUGUAUUGGGAAAGCUAGAAGCUUUAAGGAAAAAGGUGGUAUCAGUUGGAAAGGAACACGCAUCAAUAUGUGCUAAGUCAUUAUCUAAACGAGAAGCAGAGGAGCGACUGAAUGAGGGAUUGAAAAGAAUUCAGGAAAUAUUUGAUCGUGAUGGAAAAGCUGUUGAUGAACUAUUGAACAUUGCCAAGACGUUACGGGCAAUGCCAGUUGUCGAUCUGGAAACACCAACUCUCUGUCUUGUUGGUGCUCCCAAUGUCGGAAAAUCAUCUUUGGUUCGCGUACUUUCGACAGGGAAGCCUGAGAUCUGCAACUAUCCCUUCACAACCAGAGGAAUUCUGAUGGGACAUAUUAAUUUGAGCUACCAGAAUUUUCAGGUUACUGAUACCCCUGGUAUCUUAAGGAGAUGUGACGAGGACAGGAAUAACUUAGAAAAGUUAACACUUGCCGUUCUCACUCAUUUACCAACUGCAGUACUUUAUGUUCAUGAUUUAUCUGGAGAAUGUGGGAUGUCACCUUCUGAUCAGUUUGUGCUCUAUAAGGAAAUGAGAGAGAGAUUCAGCAGCCAUAUUUGGCUUGAUGUCGUGUCCAAAUGUGACUUACUGCAAGCAUCUCCUGUCAUCUUUACAACAGAUGAUUGUAAUGCUGAUAACUUUGAGCUGGUGAGAUAUAGGAAAAUAGGACCUGAUGGAGCCUUAAAUGUAUCGGUAAAGAAAGAGAUUGGACUUCAGGAGUUGAAGAAAAGAGUUUAUGAGCUGCUUGUAUCUCAAUCAGAAAGGAUCAGAAAACAAAAGAGCAAGGAAGAAGGUCUGGAAGUUUCAAUCUAGUUGGUUUUAUGAAUUCCUAACAGAUCUCUGGCCUGCUGGAAUUUGGCUGCAAAAUUUUGGCUUGGUCCAGGAAUAUGACAUGUUUCUUAGCAUAUUCUCAGGCAGUUGGACAACGAUGUCCUCUUUUGCGUCGCUUCAAAUCUCAUCUAUAAAUAACUGGGUCAUUUGCCAAAUGGUGCUGGCAGAGUUGCCAUAUCUGUCAUUCCAUUCUUUAAACUUUUAGUUAUAGCAACCUGACAAAUUUCUAGUCCGUGGUUUAUGGAUAAGAUACUGAGAUGCAUUGGGAUGUUUAAAAGGUCAAAUUUCCGAAGCUCUAAUAUUUAACAAUCUUACAUUUACGAGUAGAUAGAGUAUGCAAUUGGCAUCAAAGAGUAAAUGCUCUGUAAAAUUGAAGUUUAUGUACAUUACUCUUCUUGUUGGUUCA